rnacentral:ncRNA from 1 species
GUGUUGUAUGUAAGGAGAGAAGGUUAGCAUUCAUUUUGACAAGGAUUGGAGAGAGCCCAGUCACUGUUAUGAUACAAAUUGUUAAGGCACUGCCACCUACUUUGAGGCAUCUCUAACUCUGUUUUUUC